rnacentral:rRNA from 1 species
CGCGAAACCUUUACACUGCACGAGAGUGCGAUAAGGGGACUCCCAGUGCGAGGGCAUACAGUCCUCGYUUUUCUGGACCGUAGGGAGGUCCAGGAACAAGUGCUGGGCAAGACCGGUGCCAGCCGCCGMGGUAAUACCGGCAGCACGAGUGAUGGCCGAUAUUAUUGGGCCUAAAGCGUCCGUAGCCGGCCAGACAAGUCCGUUGGGAGAUCCACGUGCUCAACACGUGGGCGUCCAGCGGAAACUGUCUGGCUUGGGGCCGGAAGACCCAAGGGGUACGUCCGGGGUAGGAGUGAAAUCCCGUAAUCCUGGRCGGACCGCCGAUGGCRAAAGCACCUUGGGAGGACGGACCCGACGGUGAGGGACGAAAGCCAGGGUCUCGAACCGGAUUAGAUACCCGGGUAGUCCUGGCCGUAAACGAUGUCCGCUAGGUGUGGCGCAGGCUACGAGCCUGCGCUGUGCCGUASGGAAGCCGUGAAGCGGACCGCCUGGGAAGUACGUCUGCAAAGAUGAAACUUAAAGGAAUUGGCGGGGGAGCACUACAACCGGAGGAGCCUGCGGUUUAAUUGGAAUCA